UGGACAGAUUAUUGUAUUCGACUGUAUUCACGGCGUGAAACAGGUGAUCACACUGUUUUUAAAACGGAAAGUGAAUCAAUUAACAUAAUAGACUCCU
rnacentral:pre_miRNA from 1 species